UACGAAGGGGGCUAGCGUUGUUCGGAGUUACUGGGCGUAAAGGGUGCGCAGGCGGCCUCGCGCGUCGCGAGUGAAAUCUCCCGGCUCAACUGGGAGGGUGGUCGCGAGACGGCGGGGCUUGAGGCUCGGUGAGGGGCGUGGAAUUCCGGGUGGAGCGGUGAAAUGCGUAGAGAUCCGGAGGAACACCGACGGCGUAGGCAGCGCCCUAGACGAGACCUGACGCUCAGGCACGAAAGCGCGGGGAGCGAACAGG
rnacentral:rRNA from 1 species